CACCACCCUAAAUCCUAAGACCUUGAUACGGCAAGCAGCAACCCAUGUCCCUCUAGACUAUUAGAGUAGUUAAAGUAUAGUGGUGCACUGUAGAAGCCAUGUGGACUAUGAACCUUGUAUUUAAUAUAGUUCACAUGUGUUUAAUAUGAUUUUAUUUAUUUUUAAUAUUAUAUAUAUUAUAAUUUUAUUUAUUAAUUUUAUAUUAAUCUUAAAUUAUUUUUAACCUAAAUGAUAAUAUGAG
rnacentral:lncRNA from 1 species